rnacentral:rRNA from 1 species
UGUCUUUUUGAAAUUAAUUUAAAGUCUAGCCUGCCCACUGAAUUUUUUUAAAUGGCCGCAGUAUCCUAACUGUGCAAAGGUAGCAUAAUCAUUAGUCUUUUAAUUGAAGGCUGGAAUGAAUGGUUGGAUGAAAUAUUAACUGUUUCAUAAAAAUUUAUAAUAGAAUUUUAUUUUUUAGUCAAAAAGCUAAAAUUUAAUUAAAAGACGAGAAGACCCUAUAAAUCUUUAUAUUUAGAAAAUUACAAUCAUUUAGAUAAUUUAGAUUUUUAUUUUUUUAAAUAUUUUAUUGGGGUGAUAUUAAAAUUUAAUAAACUUUUAAUUUAUAAUUAACAUAAAUUAAUGAAUUAUUGAUCCAUUUAUUAUGAUUAAAAAAUUAAGUUACUUUAGGGAUAACAGCGUAAUUUUUUUAGAGAGUUCAUAUUGAUAAAAAAGAUUGCGACCUCGAUGUUGGAUUAAGAUACAGUUUUAGGUGCAGCAG